UACGUAGGGGGCAAGCGUUGUCCGGAAUUAUUGGGCGUAAAGCGCGUGUAGGCGGCUCGAUAAGUCCGCUCUGAAAGUCCGGGGCUCAACCCCGGGAGGCGGGUGGAUACUGUCGAGCUAGAGUCCGGAAGAGGCGAGUGGAAUUCCUGGUGUAGCGGUGAAAUGCGCAGAUAUCAGGAGGAACACCAAUGGCGAAGGCAGCUCGCUGGGACGGUACUGACGCUGAGACGCGAAAGCGUGGGGAGCAAACAGG
rnacentral:rRNA from 1 species